GACGAACGCUGGCGGCGUGCUUAACACAUGCAAGUCGAGCGGUAAGGCCCUUUCGGGGGUACACGAGCGGCGAACGGGUGAGUAACACGUGGGUGACCUGCCCUUAGCUCUGGGAUAAGCCUGGGAAACUGGGUCUAAUACCGGAUAUGACUCCAUAACGCAUGUUGUGGGGUGGAAGGCCUUGUGCGGCUAGGGAUGGGCCCGCGGCCUAUCAGCUUGUUGGUGGGGUGAUGGCCACCAAGGCGACGACGGGUAGCCGGCCUGAGAGGGCGACCGGCCACACUGGGACUGAGACACGGCCCAGACUCCUACGGGAGGCAGCAGUGGGGAAUCCUGCGCAAUGGGCGAAAGCCUGACGCAGCGACGCCGCGUGGGGA
rnacentral:rRNA from 1 species